AACAUUUGGCUGGAUCAUGGAGGAGUACCCGCCAAUGAAGAAUUUGUAAUUAAGCUGAUGGAAAAUGUGUUGUCCAUAUUCCUACUCGGAGGACGUUUGGCAGCAGCAAAAAGAAAAUUCAAAUCAACUUUCGAAAUGAAGAAAAAUUUACCAUAAAGCUGAUGGAAAAUUUGUCACCUAUAUUUCAACUCCUAGGACAUCUAGUAGAUUUUCAGAACCGUAAGAUCGAAUAUUAGUGUGGAUCAUCGACUACCCGGUGUCAAAGAAUUUGUCACAAAGCUGAAUAAAAAUGUGUCGGCUGUAUUUCAACUCUGAGGAUAUUUGGCAGCAGCAAAAAAAAGUUCAACUGAUAAUCAACUGUCGAAAGGAUGUAUUUUUUUUAUAAUAAUUUUAGUAA